rnacentral:rRNA from 1 species
AUGUUUCGCCGCCCCGACCGAGACCAACAAGUACCACUACGACCAUUCCUCUCCAAGACCGACCCCAAAAGGCUCGGAUUCGUCACGUGUGCAACAGCCCAUGUACAACUACGCAGACUUGCCAAGUACCACUUCAUGUUGGCAAGACCCGCAAGUCGGACCCCGAACGAUCGACGACUCGUGGACCUUGUUCAACUUCAGGCGCCGAACACCCGGGUAGCACAAAUGCCAAACUCAAGGGUCAUCUUUAUUUUAAACCCCUGGGCCAGUGCUCCUCUGAGUGUUGGUCCAACUUGUCAGCCGCCGGUGGCCACCAGGGGCAACUCUGGGUUGGCCUACCAGAAGUUUGGACAAUUCGGGUCUAGCUUGGAGAAGGAAGAUCAUUGGAGCAAGAACAAGCAUGGAGUUGAUGGCAUGCACAAGGGAAACAAGAACGGAGUUGCAAGUGACGAUUUAAGGACUUUGAAGCCACCAUAA